UCGGUGCUCAUCAGGUAUAGC
rnacentral:misc_RNA from 1 species